CAGUAGCCACGGUAAUACGAGGGGAGCUAGCGUUAUUCGGAAUUACUGGGCGUAAAGCGCACGUAGGCGGCUUUGUAAGUUAGAGGUGAAAGCCCAGAGCUCAACUCUGGAAUUGCCUUUAAGACUGCAUCGCUUGAAUCCAGGAGAGGUGAGUGGAAUUCCGAGUGUAGAGGUGAAAUUCGUAGAUAUUCGGAAGAACACCAGUGGCGAAGGCGGCUCACUGGACUGGUAUUGACGCUGAGGUGCGAAAGCGUGGGGAGCAAACAGGAUUAGAUACCCGAGUAGUCCCUGUCUCUUAUAC
rnacentral:rRNA from 1 species